GCAAACCAACCGCUGAGGUCUCUGGUAUCGGGAACCACUCAACCACAUAGCUGGACUCUGAUUGGUUCACCAGCGCUUUCCAUUCCACCUUCAGCUGGAAGUCAUCCAAAGCAUUGACGCUGAUGCUUUCAGGAGGUAUGUAUAUGUGAGCCGAUGGUGACGUCCCAGCCGAGUUAGACGCAGUCAAGUUGCAGUUACAGGCGUGAGCAGUGACAGAAAGGACACAAGAUGUGCUGUACGAAUCCAGAUGACCGCAGUCCCAGUAGGAUGAGUCAGGCUCAUUCUGGCACGAUGCAGCAUAGCGCAGGAUUACACCAUUAGCGUUUGGCCACUGGAGGGGCUGAACAGAAGAGAAUUUCCAGAUAAAGGACGGGACACGUAAGGAGACAGAGUGAAAUAUAGGUGAAUGUGUGAGUGUUCGGUGAUGAUAUAAAUAAUAAAAAUGAUCUUACUUUGAAUGAAACUAUAAACAGUUUAUAAACUAUAAACUUAUUUUUUUUGCCAAAUAAGCUGUGGUAUCACAGCACAACAUACUGGACCAUGCUGAUACAUGUCAUAGAUUGUUUUGUGUAAUAGCAGUUUGUUCUUUGUGUUAUUCUUUACAUAGUAACCUAUUCUUUAUGAAUAUGCCAUAUGUAUAUAUUUAGCACAGGUUUAUUAUUCAUAUCUAUUCAUUCAAAUUUUAGUUUUGAUCUAUCAGCGUAAAAUUCUCAAAGCCAAUCAAACCGAAUUCAAUUCUAAUUAUAUAAUUAUUCUUUUACUGAAUGUGUGUUUUUAAAUUAUUAUUAUUUUUUUUUAGAAAACACUCUGAAUAAGGAUCUAUGCAGAAAAACAGGAAAGAAGACAAUAAAAGAGGAAGGGAUGUGGUCACUGUAUUAUGAAACAAACCACAGUGUAGAAAUGAAUUAAAAGAAAUAAAAGCACUUAUAAAGAAAGGAUAAGAGCAAACAUUAUUAUAAACAUUAUGCUUAUCAUAUCUGCUACAAUCCCUAUUGAUACUUAAAGUUAGUCAUAAACAAACAAACAAACAAACAAAUAAGUAAUAAAAAAACAACACACUGAUGCAGAAAGCAUAGGAGUUAACAUUCAUUUAUACGAUAUCCUAAUCAAAUCUACCGAUUAUUUCUACUGAUAUAGAAACCUAGUCGUCUUUUUUUUUUUUAAAUAAAAAAAAAUUAAUCCCUGUUAAUCUUUGUUCAGUUUGUUACAUUCCUACAAUCUUCAUGUGACCAGGCCAUGACUCUGAAACCAAGAAACUGUUAUUUUGUUUUUUUUGCAGAAAUGACGAUAAUGCAGUUUCUGCACCCCACAUAAACUGUUACACAACGUGGGGCCUUGUUUCCUGAUGUGACUGAGCAUUUAUAAUAAUGCCAAUUAUCAACACAGAUUAAUGAAAUACAACUCUGCACCCGGCCUCAUUAAAACACUUAUUAUAUGAGAAUGGAGGUGUUAUUAUUCAUGGGAGGCCCUAAAGAGAUGAGGCAACUGCACAGCAAGGUGACACGUCUCUUUCCGCUCCUGUCUACCUGCUGGAUGUGUCUCCAAAGCUCUGGGGCAGCCACUGGUGCUGAGAGAUCCAGACAAACACACGGCUUAUCGGUAUCUCUCUUUAAUCCACACCGCACACCUGACUUGAUCUCUGUAUCACUCUAUCUGUUCCUCACCUGUCUCUGCUGUGAUGGCCUCUGCAAAUCCACUCCAGGAGCUCCAGUGAUGCUGCGCUCUCAAGUCCUGAGCGCGAACCCUGACCAAGUGCUUCGUUCCUGGAUAUAAGCCACACAUGUUCGUCCACCAGUCAUGAAGAAAAGCAGUCACUUUGGAGACAUGGGCCUGAAAUGAACAGCAUAGUUUAGGACUCUUAUAAACACUCUUGUUUGAUGUUUCCUUUUUUUGUAUAUAAGUAGGAGGCAUUGAAUAGAUAAAGAAACAGCAAUGAGGGAGUUUUACCUAUGUCAAUAUAUUCAUCACGAUUGAGUAUGUGCUCGUUUUUUGGUCCGUGACUUAUGGGAUAAAUGUUUUAAUUCAUCUCUAAGUUGAUAAGCAAUAAAUAUUAUUUGAUGGUUUGACUCGGGUGAGAAUUAAAACGGAAUAACUCCAGCCUUUUUCAGAAGAA